GAAUUUUGCUCAAUGGGGGAAACCCUGAAGCAGCAACGCCGCGUGAGGGAUGAAGGCCUUCGGGUUGUAAACCUCUUUUCUCAGGGAAGAUAAUGACGGUACCUGAGGAAUAAGCCACGGCUAACUACGUGCCAGCAGCCGCGGUAAUACGUAGGUGGCGAGCGUUGUCCGGAUUUACUGGGCGUAAAGAGCGCGCAGGCGGUCGUGCAAGUCGCGUGUGAAAGCCCCCGGCUCAACUGGGGAGGGUCACGCGAUACUGCUCGACUCGAAGGCAGGAGAGGGAAGUGGAAUUCCCGGUGUAGUGGUGAAAUGCGUAGAUAUCGGGAGGAACACCAGUGGCGAAGGCGACUUCCUGGCCUGUUCUUGACGCUGAGGCGCGAAAGCUAGGGUAGCAAACGGG
rnacentral:rRNA from 1 species